ACACUCUUAGGCUUAAUUGGUAAACCCGUUGACUCCAAAUCUUCUAUUGCACGUUCGAGUCGUGCAGGGUGUG
rnacentral:tRNA from 1 species